GUCUAUGGCCAUAACACCCCAAACACGCCUAAUCUCCGGUCUCUGAAGCUAAGCAGGGUCGGGCCUGGUUACUUCCUGGAUGGGAGACA
rnacentral:rRNA from 1 species